GAUGAAGAACGUAGCGAAAUGCGAUAAGUAAUGUGAAUUGCAGAACUCAGUGAAUCAUCGAAUCUUUGAACGCACAUUGCGCCCGCCAGUAUUCUGGCGGGCAUGCCUGUUCGAGCGUCAUUUCAACCCUCAAGCCCUCGGGUUUGGUGUUGGGGAUCGGCGAGCCUUUCUGGCAAGCCGGCCCCGAAAUCUAGUGGCGGUCUCGCUGCAGCCUCCAUUGCGUAGUAGUAAAACCCUCGCAACUGGAACGCGGCGCGGCCAAGCCGUUAAACCCCCAACUUCUGAAUGUUGACCUCGGAUCAGGUAGGAAUACCCGCUGAACUUAAGCAUAUCAAUAAGCGGAGGA
rnacentral:misc_RNA from 1 species